CCAUUUGCUGUGACACCAAUGCCAUUUGAGGUGGCACCGGUGCCAUUUGGCUGCCAUUUGCUGUCACACCAAUGCCAUUUGAGGUGGCACCGGUGCCAUUUGGCUGCCAUUUGCUGUCACACCAAUGCCAUUUGAGGUGACACCGGUGCCAUUUGCUGUCA